AUCAUUUCUCAGCCUUUUGACUAAGAUCAAGUGUAGUAUCUGUUCUUAUCAGUUUAAUAUAUGAUAUGUCCUCUCUGCGAGGACAGCAUAAAUUGAUUUUUGGAACAGGGAGGUGGAAAAGGGCCUUGCUCCAUCCACUCCAUGCAUCAACCUGGUAUUGUAGUACUUCCAGGAAUGAUGCACUUCCC
rnacentral:snRNA from 1 species